CUAACUGCAUGUCGUACUUGAAUUACAGGUUUUUUUGUCUUCGUCACUCCUUUGUUAUAUGGAAGAAGACUUCAUGGGAAAACAGUGGAGGGAGUUCCAGCCAGUGGCAGAGAGAGAAGAGAAUUUUACUGGACUAUCAAUACUUCUUCAUUGGUUCAACAGGGAGGUACUUGCUCCUAUAUAAGUAUGGAGGCUGUCAUGAUGCAGGCUAUUUCACCCUGGACCUCCAGAGAUUCCAGUUUGAGGGAGUGAACAUUUCAACACGGUGUCGAUUGUACUCACGCAUAUAGCAACUUCCCACCAUCGUUGUUAUCUACGCCGACGGCACUCAGGAAGGUGCCAAGGAGAUGCUGGACCAAGGCAUGGAGGCACUGCGAGCUGAAGAGCACAUAGCUGCAGAUGCUGGAGGCCGGGCCGGUGAGCUGAGGAUUGGAGGUAGCGUUGAUUGGUGUUUUUAUGGAGAGAUAGGAUGCAACUGUUUGGUGUUUUUAUGCAUUUUGGUUUGCUUGUAAAUGUGUUUGCACUAGCUGGGAGUAAGUGACUUGGCAAGAAGUGUAGGUGUUUUAAUUGAAGGCAUGAAAAGCCAUGACAAUAUGUAUGCUCUUACAGGAUGUGCUCUAAUGCCGCUGGUUUAUUA